rnacentral:rRNA from 1 species
AUUGAACGCUGGCGGCAUGCUUUACACAUGCAAGUCGAACGGUAACAGGUUAAGCUGACGAGUGGCGAACGGGUGAGUAAUGCAUCGGAACGUGCCCGAUCGUGGGGGAUAACGCAGCGAAAGCUGCGCUAAUACCGCAUACGAUCUGAGGAUGAAAGCGGGGGACCGUAAGGCCUCGCGCGAUCGGAGCGGCCGAUGUCAGAUUAGGUAGUUUGUGGGGUAAAGGCCCACCAAGCCGACGAUCUGUAGCUGGUCUGAGAGGACGACCAGCCACACUGGGACUGAGACACGGCCCAGACCCCUACGGGAGGCGGCAGUGGGGAAUUUUGGACAAUGGGCGAAAGCCUGAUCCAGCAAUGCCGCGUGCAGGAAGAAGGCCUUCGGGUUGUAAACUGCUUUUGUACGGAGCGAAAAGGUCCUUUCUAAUACAAGGGGCUCAUGACGGUACCGUAAGAAUAAGCACCGGCUAACUACGUGCCAGCCGCCGCGGUAA